UUCUCUUUUCCUCAUCCAUCUCUUCGUCUCUCUCUCUGCUCCAUUCCCCUCAUGCUCUCUCUCUGUUCAGCCAUGGCGCCAACACCAUGAUAGCGCCAGACGGCUCCUCCGGGAAGCAUGUAAAACACGCUACUACCCUCAACUCCUUACUCCCAUUACUUCCUCUUAAUUUUAGAACUUGUGCUUUAAACCCACAUCUACCCAACAUCCAAAAAUAGUAAUAAAUUGAAGUUGAAUAGGAAGAACAUCCAUUUUUAGAGAGGGAGAGCUCGGCCUCCAUGGAGAAAUCAGAAGCCGUGAGCUUCAUGGUUGCUUCUACACCUCGAUUCCUCGUCUUUUCGUUAAUUCAAUCGCGAAUUCUCCAAUAAUUCAAACUGCCCUGGUCUGCCGGGAAAUGACAUGGAGAAGGAGCAUGGAUAAUGUGAUUCGUAUGUCAAAGGUGUCUGGGAUUUUGAGAUUAGAGGAUCACACAAGCUCUUUUGUUGUACAACUGCUCAGGUCAUUAGCUCGCCUUUGCGUUUGAAAAAUUAUGUUUGAUAUGUCAGAUGUGGCAUGUAUAGAAUGUCUAAUGUAUAAUGGACAUUCUAUUUUCUUCGUUA